UCAUACCUAUUCGAAGGGAUAGGGUCGGUUCGGCCGGAUUUCACACAAGUGUUGCAUGGCUGUCGUCAGCUCGUGUCGUGAGAUGUUGGGUUAAGUCCCGCAACGAGCGCAACCCUCAUCCUUAGUUGCUAUCAGGUAAUGCUGAGUACUUUAAGGAAACUGCCAGUGAUAAGCUGGAGGAAGGUGGGGAUGAUGUCAAGUCAUCAUGGCCUUUAUGGAGUGGGCUACACACGUGCUACAAUGGUGUCUACAAUGGGUUGCAAGGUGCGCAAGCCUAAGCUAAUCCCUAAAAGACAUCUCAGUUCGGAUUGUACUCUGCAACUCGAGUACAUGAAGUUGGAAUCGCUAGUAAUCGUGGAUCAUCAUGCCACGGUGAAUACGUUCUCGGGUCUUGUACACACUGCCCGUCACGCCAUGGGAAUUGGUUUCACUCGAAGCU
rnacentral:rRNA from 1 species